UACAUGGGGUGCAAACGUUGCUCGGAAUUAUUGGGCGUAAAGCGCACGUAGGUGGUCUGUUAUGUCAGAUGUGAAAGCCCUCGGCUUAACUGAGGAAGUGCACCUGAAACUGGCAGGCUUGAGUACGAAAGAGGGUCGCGGAAUUCCCGGUGUAGAGGUGAAAUUCGUAGAUAUCGGGAGGAGCACCGGUGGCGAAGGCGGCGACCUGGUUCGAUACUGACACUGAGGUGCGAAAGCGUGGGGAGCAAACAGG
rnacentral:rRNA from 1 species